rnacentral:rRNA from 1 species
AGUGAACGCUGGCGGUAGGCCUAACACAUGCAAGUCGAACGGCAGCACAGUAAGAUCUUGCUCUUACGGGUGGCGAGUGGCGGACGGGUGAGGAAUACAUCGGAAUCUACUUUUUCGGGGGGGAUAACGGAGGGAAACUUACGCUAAUACCGCAUACGACCUACGGGUGAAAGCAGGGGAUCUUCGGACCUUGCGCGAUUGAAUGAGCCGAUGUCGGAUUAGCUAGUUGGCGGGGUAAAGGCCCACCAAGGCGACGAUCCGUAGCUGGUCUGAGAGGAUGAUCAGCCACACUGGAACUGAGACACGGUCCAGACUCCUACGGGAGGCAGCAGUGGGGAAUAUUGGACAAUGGGCGCAAGCCUGAUCCAGCCAUACCGCGUGGGUGAAGAAGGCCUUCGGGUUGUAAAGCCCUUUUGUUGGGAAAGAAAAGCAGCAGGUUAAUACCCCGCUGUUCUGACGGUACCCAAAGAAUAAGCACCGGCUAACUUCGUG